CUCUGGUGAUGAGCCUGCCAUGCUAAUACCGAUGCACCAGGCAGACGCUGGUCUCUCUGGGUGUGCGUGAGUUCAACUCGCCUCCUCAUGCUGUGACUCAGUGUGCUCUGAAGAGA
ensembl:snoRNA small nucleolar RNA U6-53/MBII-28